AGACACAGGGGUACCUCCAGCUUUAAUUAAGAUCUGAAACAAUGGAAGAUCACAGGGAAUGCAGUAUGCCUUGGCUAUCCCAAUAGAACUGAUUUUCACAGCCUGAAUUAAGUUGAGAUCUAGCAAGUCUCGCAUCCACACCAAAGCUGCUAGCUGCUUCUUCCUCCCCGCCACCAGAAAUUCCAGAAUCGCUUCUCUUCUGC